GAUGGCCCCUAUGGGGAAAAUUCGCUUUGCAAUGAUCGCGGGGGAGUGCUCCCCCACGAUCAUCACAAAGGCCCCACCGGUCAUGUGUUCCAAAAAACGGGCUUUGGGCUGCUCGCGGCGAAGCGCUUCUCCUUACUUCCUCCACUACACAAGGAUCUAAAACCAGGGGCUGCAAUCGUGGACUUUUUGUCUCUCAAACCAUCCAAUUCCGAACUUUUACCUAGCACUUCAUCUCUGGCCAUCAAUAUACAAUCAGAUAAGACUCCUACUGAAGGUAAACCUGUUCAAUCACCAAAAAUCUCAAUUGUGCUUUCAAAGCAUCAGUUAGUGUUUCUUAACUUUCCUAAGCCCAAUGGAAAACUAACUCAGCUAGGAAAGAAAUGUCACCUCUUACAAAUUCUUGAAGAGGCAGGAGUGUAUCACCUGUCAAUUGAAGGCAUAGAAACUGUUGAAUAUCUUUGCUUCAUUAAUCCCACCUAUGGAAUAAAAGCAACUUUCACAGGCCCAACUUUUGUGUAUCCUAUACUUAGACAAAGGCAGGCUUUUGCUAGUUUAGGUGUUCAGGUGAAGAGGCACUUUGUCAAUGCCAUAAUCCAGCCACUGAUCAAAGACUGGUCUGCUAGGGAUGGACAAAUUAUAGAACAGGAGAAAUCUUUACCAACUUAUACAUUAAUACGUUUAGAUGUUAGUGAUGCAAAUUCAAGAUUUGAGAAUUUAAACUCCACUGGUCAUAGAAGCAAGAACCUCUCCUAUAAUAACCAAUUAAACAGAGACACAAGCGACACCCUCCAAAGCUCUCUGGAAGUAAGCAACUACUUUCCAGAGGCUACUCCAAUAGUGCCUAUGAUGAUCUUCGAAGAGGAGAACAUUCUAAUUGAGAGGUAUUUCACGUUGCCUAUAACAGAACAACAGCAUAUCAUAAACAGGCUUGAAAUGCUUAUCCGUAAUUUAGUCAGUAGUUCAUUUAGUUUAAAUCCCUCACAAGAGCAAGCAAAUGAAUUUCAAACAAAAUCUGCAGACUUCUGUGCAACAGCAUCACAAGCUUCCUGUAUACAAAUCCUAUCAGAGGAUGACCUGGUACAUAGAUUGCUAUUGACAAAUUCAGGGAUCUGCCAAGCACCACCACCUCCAGCCAGAUCAUUAUGUUUAGUUGAUUUGGUUAAAGCCCCCUCUAUAGAAGAUAAUAAUAUAAGUCAAACAGGUUAUUUUCAAAAUAGAACACAAAAAGUUACAGUGGAAAUUAACAUAAACCCUCAGUUGACAGCUAAGACAAAUGCCACGACUAUACUCCAAACUGAGGCGCAUGAAGUACAAAAUUGUAUAACUGAUUGUAAGCUUUUAGGCCUAGACAUCAUAUAUGAAGAACAGCUACCUUCACAUUCAUAUGAUGCAGUAACUGAUGGAUAG
rnacentral:lncRNA from 1 species